AUACGUAGGUGGCAAGCGUUGUCCGGAAUUAUUGGGCGUAAAGCGCAUGUAGGCGGUGCCUUAAGUCUGUCGUGAAACUGCGGGGCCUAACCCCGUAUGGCGAUGGAAACUGUGGCACUUGAGUGCAGGAGAGGAAAGGGGAACUCCCAGUGUAGCGGGGAAAUGCGUAGAUAUUGGGAAGAACACCGGUGGCGAAGGCGCCUUUCUGGACUGUGUCUGACGCUGAGAUGCGAAAGCCAGGGUAGCGAACGGGAUUAGAUACCCCGGUAGUCCUGGCCGUAAACGAUGGGUACUAGGUGUGGGAGGUAUCGACCCCUUCCGUGCCGGAGUUAACGCAAUAAGUACCCCGCCUGGGGAGUACGGCCGCAAGGCUUAAACUCAAAUGAAUUGGCGGGG
rnacentral:rRNA from 1 species